AACCCUUUUUGUUCCCUUUAAGUUGAUUUUCAUCCAGAUCUGAAAAUCAUUUUUCGAACCACAAAAAAAACAUAGUUGAGAUUUGAAAGAAAAAUCAACAAAUAGACUUAGUAAUAUGUGGAUUUCGAACGUGAUAAAGGAUUUCUUCUAGAUAUUCAGGAGUGUAACGCUUGAGAUUAAAUUGAACCUCUGAGAUAUGCUUCCUACACACAAAUGAAAAUAGAUUCGCUUCUUGUUAGAGUAUUGUCAUACCCCAGAACUCACUAUUGAGGUUAAGAGGACGAGAAUAGAUUGGAAACAAAGAGAUACAAACACACACAUACACAAAGAUAGAUAGAUAGAUAGAGAGAGAGAGAGAGAGAGAGAGAGAGAGAGAGAGAGAGAGAUAAAGAAAGAAUAAUAGAAGGGAUUAUACCUUUAGGGUGAAGGUAGUACGUGAUGGUUGCUUGGUAUGGUGAAUAACAUGGUGACCAUAGUAGAUGGUGGCAAUGGUUGACUGUUCAUCAGAUGAAACAUAAACAAACACUUGAAAACAUCAAAUCGUAGAUUUAUUCAAAUCAAAUCUUGUACCAUUAAAACCUAGCUUUCUUCGAAUCUUAGAAUAAUAUGGAUGAAUAUAUAAAAAAAAUCACAUAUAAAAUCCAAAUUGUAACCUUAAAAUUUUAGUAAAAGCUGACUGCUCAUUAGAUGAUAAAAACUCUAACUCGUCGUUCAAUCAGCCUUGGUGGUAGAUAGGAAUAGCAGCCAUGAAGUUUCAGAGAGAGAUAAAGGUGAAUGAGCAGCGACGUCAAGUGUUUGGCUUGUGGGAAGGAUUAGGGUUUUAGUAGCGGAUAUAGAGUUAAGAGAGGUAUUGUCCAAUGUGUGAGGUCAUGGUGGGGGAGAAGGUGAUAUUAUUUGUGGCAGUUCGUCGUGGUGAUAAGCGGAAGGAUACA
rnacentral:lncRNA from 1 species